UACGUAGGUUGCGAGCGUUGUCCGGAAUUAUUGGGCGUACAGGGCUCGUAGGCGGUUUGUCGCGUCGGGAGUGAAAAUCCAGGGCUUAACUCUGGACUGGCUUCCGAUACGGGCAGACUAGAGGUAUGCAGGGGAGAACGGAAUUCCUGGUGUAGCGGUGAAAUGCGCAGAUAUCAGGAGGAACACCGGUGGCGAAGGCGGUUCUCUGGGCAUUACCUGACGCUGAGGAGCGAAAGUGUGGGGAGCGAACAGG
rnacentral:rRNA from 1 species